rnacentral:rRNA from 1 species
AUACGGAGGGUGCAAGCGUUAUUCGGAAUCACUGGGCGUAAAGGACACGUAGGCGGGAAGCCAAGUCUGAUGUGAAAUCCUACAGCUUAACUGUAGAACUGCAUUGGAAACUGGUUACCUAGAGUAUGGGAGGGGGAGAUGGAAUUAGUGGUGUAGGGGUAAAAUCCGUAGAUAUCACUAGGAAUACCUAAAGCGAAGGCGAUCUCCUGGAACAUUACUGACGCUAAGGUGUGAAAGCAUGGGGAGCAAACGGGAUUAGAAACCCCUGUAGUCC